rnacentral:rRNA from 1 species
AACGAACGCUAGCGGCAUGCCUCACACAUGCAAGUCGAACGAGAUCUUCGGGUCUAGUGGCGCACGGGUGCGUAACGCGUGGGAAUCUGCCCUUUGGUUCGGAAUAACAGUUGGAAACGACUGCUAAUACCGGAUGAUGACGAAAGUCCAAAGAUUUAUCGCCAGUGGAUGAGCCCGUGUAGGAUUAGCUAGUUGGUGUGGUAAAGGCGCACCAAGGCGACGCUCCUUAGCUGGGCUGAGAGGAUGAUCAGCCACACUGGGACUGAGACACGGCCCAGACUCGUGCGGGAGGCAGCAGUGGUGAAUAUUGGACAAUGGGCGAAAGCCUAUUCCAGCAAUGCUGCGUGAGUGAUGAAGGCCUUAGGGUUGUAAAGCUCUUUUACCCGGGAUGAUAAUGACAGUACCGGGAGAAUAAGCUCCGGCUAACUCCGUGCCAGCCGCCACCGUAA